rnacentral:rRNA from 1 species
UACGGAGGGUGCAAGCGUUAUCCGGAUUUACUGGGUUAAAGGGUGCGCAGGCGGAUAUGUAAGUCAGUGGUGAAAUCUCUGGGCUUAACCCGGAAAUUGCCAUUGAUACUAUAUAUCUUGAAUGCUGUGGAGGUAAGCGGAAUAUGUCAUGUAGCGGUGAAAUGCUUAGAUAUGACAUAGAACACCUAUUGCGAAGGCAGCUUACUACGCAGAUAUUGACGCUCAUGCACGAAAGCGUGGGGAUCAAACAGG